UGUACAUUAAACACACGUUUUUUUAUUCACGAAUCUGUCUCACGAUCGAUUUAAUAGCAGUAAGUGUGCUAUUUAAAUACAAGCCAAGUUAUCAACUUUAUUUCAUUGGCUAAGCCAGCCAGGCUUUGAACGAUUUUCAAAUUUUAUACCACUUUCUCAAAGUGCUAUCGGAGAGAAGUAGAGUAUUGAGUAAUUUUUGAAACGUUUGACGAGAACCUAGAAGUCAACAAUCAGCCAGUCGCUCAUUUUGUCGCAGUUUUUUUACAACUGUCCCUUAUAUCGAAAGGGGGAACAUGUUAGUACUGAGAGAAACUACGGAAAGAGUUUGACGAGAGCCUAGAAGUAUUGAUUUAUCGUGAAUGACCUGGAGAUUCGUAGAACACGGAAGACUUCUUAUUCGGAAUGAUUUUUACAAAAAUUGAUCAAAGAAGGAAAGAUGACUACAAAAGAGAUGAAAAAUCUUAAAGAAAGAAAGUUGAUCAUCAUCGUCAUCGUCACAGGAUUCAUUUUUUUCUCUAUUGACAUUUUUAUCAGUGGUAAAAUAUAUCACAAACUGUUCCAGCCAUGCAGAGGUUAACAGGAUUGACAAUUUUCUCAAAGACAUUACAGUAUUAAGAAGCAAAAGAAAUGUGGACAAUGAUAUUAAUGUAGAUAACACAUUGGAUAGGUUUAGAUAUACCAAUGUCAAUACAGCUGAUGAUUUGAUUGGGUAUAUAGCUGUGGGACAGGGAUAUGAGCAUUGUAUGGAAUUAUAUUUCAUUCAUAGUAAUGAGGUGGAAAUCGAAGUUAAAAUAGAGUCAAAAACAAGUUUUGUUAAAAUGCAAGGAUUUUAUAGGGUUAAUAAUUUAACCAAGAUUUUUGAAUGUAAUAUACUGAAAAGAGCUUUUUGGACAUUAUUUGUAAAGGGUAAUGAUUCAACAAUUUGGUCUGGAGAUGUCAAUAAUGAUGUGAUAAGCUCUGGGAAAAUAUUUUAUCCAGUAGACCAGUAUUAUUAUCUUUUCAAAGUUUUGUACAAAUAUUAAAUCCAAAACAUUUAAAAAUAAUUGGAGAUAAAAAGGGAGACAUUGUAAGAAAAUGGGAUUUUAGAGUGAUAAGGAAGUUUGCUCAAUUACGAGUCAAAAUUAGCAUUACUGUGGUAGAUAUUAUUGUUCCAGAGAUAAAAGUGUCACCACAGUCUUUAAAAGUCAUUGAAGAUGAAGAUGGAUUGAAUUUGAUGUGUAGUACUCAGAUAUAUUUACCUCAAAAUUCAUUGUUAACUUGGAAAAGGAAUGGUGAGUUUUUGGGUAGUUUUUUCCACAGUACAACUAAUAUAAUUCACAAAGGAAUUUUUGGUAAUGUGAAUUGGAUCAAUGAUAAAUUUAUUUAUCAUCAA